CCCCCUGCGGUACACGCGGGGUUAACAGCUGGGGUUCGAGACGGGUGCGGGCUGGAUAUCGGCGGGGUGAAAAAGGGGCGAGGAGAAGGACUUAGUUUUAUUGCAACGGUAACGGGCAGCGCGAAGCGGCGUAAUAUGCAUUAUCAACACGGUGCCGCCAUUAUCUGGCCAUCUGCCAGCUUCUGCAGCUACGCUGCAGAAAAAUAUUCAGGGAACAUCGCGACCUAGACGCUACGGGACUCCGGCGAGCCGUAGAUAUUAUAAAUGGAAUAGGUGUCGCACCCCCGCCCCCGCCCCCCGCCCCCCGGCGAACCGGGACCGGGACAGGGGGAGGAACCGGAAUAUACCGACUCGUUUUUUGCAUCGCUCUCAGACGGACCGCCACCCCCGACGUUCGAAAUCCGGUGUAUCGAUGCGUCGUCAGCUCUGGAAUAAAUUCAGUUUCACUCCGGGUGACGGUGAUAAAAUAUUUCGUCGGACGGCGCGAUAAUCCCCGGAGAAUUUAAUGACGAAAUAAUCGACACCUCGCGGCCUACCGAUUAGAGCGCGAACUUGGCAGUGCGGAAAAGCGAAUCGCGUUGGGACUGCGAGAGCGAGAGCGGGUGGGAGAGAGAAAGAGAAAGAAGGGGUAUCGAUGGUAUAAAUUUAAUGACCGGGGGUUCGUAUAUUAAAUUCUAUUGCCUCGAUAACGAGGCUCCGAAGCGUCGAUGGUCAUACAUCACGAUUACCUCCAACCGCCGUCUCCGUAGCUGAGCGCCUACCAGCCGCAGCGGCAUCGCUACGGGGAUGUAGGUAGGGCACGGCUUUGAAGCGCGCAUAAAUCGAUCCUCCGAUACGCGAACACGCACGAUACUAAUUUGAAUACAAACGAACGAACGGUAGAUCGACCGACAACCUCCGCCGUCGAUUGAUUCGAUCGAGAUAUUCUCUGCUCUCGAAGUUCACCGGUUUUUUCGCUUCCCCGCGCCAUGCGCACUCGGGUUUUGUAACUCCAUUCGGAAAAAAAGCGAACCGAAUUCUAAAUCCGAAUAAGCCGUCCGUUGCGAAGUUUUUCGUUUCGUUCGUUCGCUUCGCUUGGCUUCGAGAUCCGAUGGAAAUAUUUAUGAAAAGUUGAUCCUAUUCAACGUAUAAUUCUAUGUCAAUCCUGAGCUGCGGAAUUGUUUUUAUAAAACAUUAACCGAAAGCCGAGGUCCUCAGCGAAAGCUCGACCCGAGAUAUUUCCCUGGAAAAAUAGUCGGCGUUCGCCAAAUAAAUCUGCGAUCAGAGAUUGGAUUUUACAGACUCGAUAUUUCCAAUGUCAUCCGCGGCAAAGUCCGGUCUCGAGCGGGCGGGGUUUUUCUCACCGUAUCCGGAGAUCACGGGGGCGUCUGAGGUCGGUAAUAAACUCGCAACACAACGUCGCGUCGCUUCGCAACCGGGCAACACCUCUGACAGAUUUCAAAUAAUUCCCAGCGAAAUUCGACGGGAGCACCUGCCGCACCGCAGCAAAACUCAUUCCUGAUCACACGCGACGAUAUAUAAACGCUCUUGGGCGGAUACUAUUUUUUUUCAAACGAUCGUCCAAGUCGACGAGGCGAACGAACGUCGUCCGUUCGAAAAGUACGCUACAAACGCGUUAUGAAUCGUUCCGCCCUCGCAACUUUGCGAAUUUCAAAUUACCCAUCAAUAAAAGUGGACAUCGAAGCGGUGGGUGGAGACGUAGUUCGGACGGUUCAAAGAGGGAAGGAGGAUCCGGAGAAGAAUUGCUACUUCGAACGGACGGUGAAAAGCGGCAAAACUUUGCCGAAGAAAGACCACUUCGCCAGUUGUUUAACUCGACGCGUAUACGGAUGUAACUUGUAUACGGAAAAUUGGACACGGGAUAAGGAAACUCCAGAGAUGACGUGUUUCCCGCCCCGUCAAAGGGACGUCGUCGACAGAUUGCCGCGAGACGGACGUCCUACCCUCGGAGGCCGACUAUUUUCACCUUCUCUCUGACGUCAAACGUGGACGGAAUUCAAAAAGGGUUCGCUAAGCCGACGUCAUAGAAAUUCCCCGCCGACCUUCGUAAGCUCCUCCUCGUCGCAAAAAUAGAUGAAAGAAAAAAAAAGUAAACAGAAUUGAAACGAGUGUAAUAAUUGAAAGAUCAACCGUCGUCGUUGUUGCGUGGACGAACGGUGGGCGACAAGGGGAAGUACACGAGAAGAGAAAAGAGGAAUCGGAGCUGGCGAUAAGAAUUAUGAGCGAGGAGCGAGGAGCGGGUCGGGGCUUACAGGCAAUCACCGAUGCGCCUAGCUUUCGCCCCGGAUCUAUUCUCCCUCUUAACUCUGGCUUCAGACAGGCGAGGCAUCACUGUCAGGGUUAUUCCGGACAUCGGGCCACCUUUUCCAAAAUCACACGAGAUUUCGAGGGUGAAAAAUCAUCCAACACCGAGGCGGGACAAUAAUCGUUGAUAAUCCUAUCGGCGUACGAGGGGAACAUCUCCGGAUCGUACAAUCGUUACACGGCGCGGCACGUCCCCUGAAAACAACCGUGACUGUCUGGAAACGUAGGUACCAAUGAACGACUCUCCCCCCGUUGAAAAGUGUCACUGGUUCUGCCGGAAAAUUCUGCAGGCCGAACAGCCAUCAAAAUUUGGAAUGCAGAAAAAACAGAGCUGACAUUGCAGUCGGAUACCUCGAGGCUGAGCGAAUCGGAAAGGAUCUGAAGAACGAUACCACGAAUAAAUACUUCAACAUUCGAUAAAACGAGACGAACGCGCGGUCCAAAAACCAGUUUGAUAUACCAUCGGAGGAACGAGACUAUCCUCGAGGCAUCUCCUGAGCCGAUCAUCAUAUGUUCGGAAUCUGCGAUUUUCAUGAAUGGGCUGAUAUAAUACCUCCUCUUACUUCACUGUUCAUACUAUUGUGACUAAUUAAUCAUAGAAACCAAUGUAUUUGUGAGAAUGAAUCGCCGAUUGCCAGUACCAUGUCCUGAAAUGUAUUUGUAACCGCUGAUUUUUUAAUAAAGCUUGACUAUAAGAUUGA